AUUGAACGCUGGCGGCAUGCCUUACACAUGCAAGUCGAACGGCAGCACGGGUGCUUGCACCUGGUGGCGAGUGGCGAACGGGUGAGUAAUACAUCGGAACAUGUCCUGUAGUGGGGGAUAGCCCGGCGAAAGCCGGAUUAAUACCGCAUACGAUCUACGGAUGAAAGCGGGGGACCUUCGGGCCUCGCGCUAUAGGGUUGGCCGAUGGCUGAUUAGCUAGUUGGUGGGGUAAGGCCUACCAAGGCGACGAUCAGUAGCUGGUCUGAGAGGACGACCAGCCACACUGGGACUGAGACACGGCCCAGACUCCUACGGGAGGCAGCAGUGGGGAAUUUUGGACAAUGGGCGAAAGCCUGAUCCAGCAAUGCCGCGUGUGUGAAGAAGGCCUUCGGGUUGUAAAGCACUUUUGUCCGGAAAGAAAUCCUUGGCCCUAAUACGGUCGGGGGAUGACGGUACCGGAAGAAUAAGCACCGGCUAACUACGUG
rnacentral:rRNA from 1 species